rnacentral:rRNA from 1 species
GGAUUUCUGGCGGGAGCGGGUGGUCCGGCACUUUGUGUUGGUACUUUCCUGUCUCUUGCCAUCCUUGGGUCUAAGCUGUCUGGCAUUUAGUUGUCGGGCAGUGGCUGCCCAUCGUUUACUGUGAAAAAAUUAGAGUGUUCAAAGCAGGCUUAUGCCGUUGAAUAUAUUAGCAUGGAAUAAUAAGAUAGGACCUUGGUACUAUUUUGUUGGUUUGCGCACCGAGGUAAUGAUUAAGAGGGACAGUUGGGGGUAUUCGUAUUCAAUUGUCAGAGGUGAAAUUCUUGGAUUUCUGGAAGACGAACUACUGCGAAAGCAUUUACCAAGGAUGUUUUCAUUAAUCAAGAACGAAAGUUAGGGGAUCGAAGAUGAUUAGAUACCAUCGUAGUCUUAACCAUAAACUAUGCCGACUAGGGAUUUGUGGGUGUUAU